GACGAACGCUGGCGGCGUGCCUAAUACAUGCAAGUCGAGCGCAGGAAGCCGUCUGAACCCUUCGGGGGGACGACAGUGGAAUGAGCGGCGGACGGGUGAGUAACACGUAAAGAACCUGCCCAUAGGUCUGGGAUAACCACGAGAAAUCGGGGCUAAUACCGGAUGUGUCAUCGGACCGCAUGGUCCGAUGAUGAAAGGCGCUCCGGCGUCGCCCAUGGAUGGCUUUGCGGUGCAUUAGCUAGUUGGUGGGGUAACGGCCCACCAAGGCGACGAUGCAUAGCCGACCUGAGAGGACGACCGGCCACACUGGGACUGAGACACGGCCCAGACUCCUACGGGAGGCAGCAGUAGGGAAUCUUCCACAAGGGACGAAAGUCUGAUGGAGCAACGCCGCGUGAACGAUGAAGGCUUUCGGGUCGUAAAGUUCUGUUGUAAGGGAAGAACAAGUGCCGCAGGCAAUGGCGGGACCUUGACGGUACCUUGCGAGAAAGCCACGGCUAACUACGUGCCAGCCGCCGCUGUAA
rnacentral:rRNA from 1 species